UUAGAUGGGUUUUGAUUUGUAGGAAGGAGAUGGGGGAAGGUAAAGGAGUAGGUAAAUAUUAAAGAUGUAUUUUUAUUUUUUUGUAGUUAAUUUGUAAGAUAGUUAAUUUUUAAAAUGGAUUAUUUGGUGAUUAGGUUAUAUAGGAAUAUGUGAUUAUUGUGGUUGUUUUAAUUUUUUUGGUUUUUAAGUGUGAUUUUGAAUUAUAGUAGUG
rnacentral:misc_RNA from 1 species